CCAUGUGCGGCUGAUGACAACACAGCUGCUGAGACUCUGUGAUUGCUCAAUCUCAAAGUAAACGCACUGACGCACUGUGG
rnacentral:snoRNA from 1 species